rnacentral:rRNA from 1 species
AGAACGAACGCUGGCGGCAUGCCUAACACAUGCAGGUCGAACGAAGCCUUCGGGCUUAGUGGCGCACGGGUGCGUAACACGUGGGAAUCUGCCCUUAGGUACGGAAUAACUCAGGGAAACUUGAGCUAAUACCGUAUGAUGUCUUCGGACCAAAGAUUUAUCGCCUAAGGAUGAGCCCGCGUCGGAUUAGCUAGUUGGUGGGGUAAAGGCCUACCAAGGCGACGAUCCGUAGCUGGUCUGAGAGGAUGAUCAGCCACACUGGGACUGAGACACGGCCCAGACUCCUACGGGAGGUAGCAGUGGGGAAUAGUUGGACAAUGGGCGAAAGCCUGAUCCAGCAAGUGCCGCGUGAGUAGAAGAAGGCCUUCGGGUGUAAAGCUACGUUUACCCGGAAGAUAAUGACUGUACCGGAGAAGUAACGACCCGUCAACCUUCCGUGCCAG